rnacentral:rRNA from 1 species
GACGAACGCUGGCGGCGUGCUUAACACAUGCAAGUCGAACGGAAAGGCCAUGAUUGUAGGGUACUCGAGUGGCGGACGGGUGGGUAAGACGUGGGUGAUCUGCCCUGCACUUCGGGUUGAGCCUGGGCGACUGAGUCUAAUUACGGCCAGGUGACAUUUUUAGUGUGAUGGUUGGAAAGUGUUUUCGGUGUUGGAUGAGCUCGCGGCCUAUCAGCUUGUUGGUGGGGUAAUGUCCUACCAAGGCGGCGACGCGUAGCCGGACUGUGAGAGUGAACGGCCACACAGACUCUGAGAUGCGGCACAGAUUCCUACGGGUGGCAGCAGGGGGGAAUAUUGCACAAUCGACGCCAGCCUGGUGCAGCGACGCCUCGUGGCGGAUGACUCCCUUCGUGGUGUAGACUACUUUCGCUAGUGACGAAGCUUGUUUUGACGGUACCUAGAUAAGAAGCACCGGCUAACUACGUG